rnacentral:lncRNA from 1 species
AGAGAGAGAGAGAGAGAGAGAGAGAGAGAGAGAGAGAAUUUUGUUGUUGUUGUUGUGAGAAUAAUUUGAAGGGGAGGAGGAAGGAGAAAUUAUUCCAUGCAUAUUGUCUAUGCCAGUGAGGCUCCUAUGCUUCUGAAAACACUGUGUCCGAACUUUGUACUUUUAAAUUAUUUUUGAUGUUUAGAUUUUCGAAUCCACAAUCGGUUUCAUUAGAUUUAAUUUAGAGCAUUUGAAUUACUUAAAAAAUAAAUUUUAUAAUUUUUUAAUAUCAUUUGCUUGAUGAUCGAAAGGGCUCAAGAUAAAUAGCUGAAAAUAAAAAUAUUACAAAAUAUGAUGAUAUGAUGUUAAAAUUUUAAAUAAAAAAUAUUGAUCUUAUUUUAUAUAGUAUGAAAAAUUUACUAUCAAAAUUUCAUGUGAUUUGGAUAGUUUCUACACCGUUAAACUUGCAAACGAUUCACUAUGAUCAUUAAAAUUAUUGAUUUUUAGUCUCAGUGAUCACUAGGCAAAUAAUUUUGAAAACUCACGAAAUUUAUAUUUUAGAUACUUCAAAUACUCUAGAUCAAGUCUAACGAAACCGAUCGUCGAUUUGAAAGUCUCAAUAUCAAAAACGACUCGAAAAUACGAAGAGCUCCGUACUUUCAGAAAUAUACCAAGCUCAAUCUUGUCUAUGCUACACACUAUAUGAUAAAUCUAUACAAUAUACAAUAUUGUUUGCAAAGAUAUUAACAAAUUUCAUCGAUUGAUUACUGCACACGCGCAAUUUAUUAC